GGGGAAUAUUGGGCAAUGGGGGCAACCCUGACCCAGCGACGCCGCGUGAAGGACGAAGGCAUUCGUGUUGUAAACUUCUUUGGAGAGGGACGAAAAUGACGGUACCUCUCGAACAAGCCACGGCUAACUACGUGCCAGCAGCCGCGGUAAUACGUAGGUGGCAAGCGUUAUCCGGAAUUACUGGGUGUAAAGGGCGCGCAGGCGGCCCUGCAAGUCGGAUGUGAAAGAUCAAGGCUCAACCUUGACAGGCCAUUCGAAACUGUUGAGCUUGAGUGUCAGAGUGGAAAGUGGAAUUCCUAGUGGAGCGGUAAAAUGCGCAGAUAUUAGGAGGAACACCGGUGGCGAAGGCGACUUUCUGGCUGACAACUGACGCUGAGGCGCGAAAGCGUGGGGAGCAAAC
rnacentral:rRNA from 1 species